rnacentral:tRNA from 113 species
GCUGGUGUAGCUCAGUGGUAGAGCAGCUGAUUUGUAAUCAGCCGGUCGCGGGUUCAAAUCCCAUCACCAGCU